AUUGAACGUUGGCGGCAGGCCUAACACAUGCAAGUCGAGCGGAUGAAGGGAGCUUGCUCCUGGAUUCAGCGGCGGACGGGCGAGUAAUGCCUAGGAAUCUGCCUGGUAGUGGGGGAUAACGUCCGGAAACGGGCGCUAAUACCGCAUACGUCCUGAGGGAGAAAGUGGGGGAUCUUCGGACCUCACGCUAUCAGAUGAGCCUAGGUCGGAUUAGCUAGUUGGUGGGGUAAAGGCCUACCAAGGCGACGAUCCGUAACUGGUCUGAGAGGAUGAUCAGUCACACUGGAACUGAGACACGGUCCAGACUCCUACGGGAGGCAGCAGUGGGGAAUAUUGGACAAUGGGCGAAAGCCUGAUCCAGCCAUGCCGCGUGUGUGAAGAAGGUCUUCGGAUUGUAAAGCACUUUAAGUUGGGAGGAAGGGCAGUAAGUUAAUACCUUGCUGUUUUGACGUUACCAACAGAAUAAGCACCGGCUAACUUCGUG
rnacentral:rRNA from 1 species